CGGGCCUCAGCUGUUUGUGCCGCGCGGAGGAGCUGCGCGGUCGACAGCGCUAAACCUAGACGUCUACUAGCUUUUCUCCCGUGGGAUACUACACGAAGACUUGCAGCCACCAUGGCGGAGAGGCCCCACGGCUACGACGGCGGGCCCCUUGUUGUAGCAGCACCACCCGAUGCAGCUGCCGUCUCUCGCAUGCGGAGCCUUUCUAGUGCGGAGAGAAUCAGGAGACUGUCGCAGGCAGUAAGAGAUGGAGCUGUGGAAGAUGUGCGGGUGUUGCUGGCGGCAGAUCCACAAAUGGAGAGCGACAAACACAUCAAGAUGGCCCUGCGCAGGGCAGCAGGCAAGGGACAUGUGGAGGUGGUGAGAUGCCUGCUUGAGAGUGGGGUGGAUGUGGACGCCAGGUCCAAAAAGCUCACCACACCUAUGCACAGGGCUGCAUGGAAUGACCAGGCAGCCGUGGUGCGGCUACUGGCAUCAUACGCUGCAGACCCCAAUGCCAUGAGUGAGACUGGGAGGACGCCACUGCACUGCACUGCACAGAAUGGCUCCACUGAGGCAGCUGUUGCACUGCUUGAGGUGGGAGCUGACAGGACUGCCAGAGAUCACGAGGGGUACACCCCCUUUGACAUAGCCAGGGAGUGCAACAACGAGCAGAUCAUACACAUUCUAUCAAAAAGACUGCUGCUGGCCAGACAUUUGUUGUUGCACUUGAGGCAACGGAGAGACCUUCAACUAUGAAUGCAACAAGAGAACAACACAAUUCACACAAAAUGGGACACAGAUGAGGUGGUAAUGAAAAUCGCAAAAGUACAUGAAAAAAAGUGCUUUACUUUGGCCCAUAAAGAAAAGACCCGUGCUGCCUUCCUAGCCAAGGUCCUGGUGGAAGUGGUUUGCCAUUGCCUUCCUCCAAUAGGGAUGAAUGAUGAUGAUGAUGAAGACUACACAACAACACCCAGUCAUCUCGAGGCAGGAAAACCCCUGACCCCGCUGGGAUUCGAACCCGAGACCCCGUGCUCGGGAAGCGAGAAUGCUACCGUGAGACCACGAGCUGUGGACCCUCUACAGGAUACGGACCUACUAAAAUCGUUGUAACUUACCCUAAAGCUCAUUGGCUGUUUGAAAUCGCAGUGAUGUAAGUAUUGAAAAGAUUGGGUCAGUGCACUAGAAUAUGUUGCAGUAGCCUGUUGUAUGUGAACUGUUAAAUAGAUGCACUGCACUUUCAAAUAAUCCUAUGAACUAGUGUAUGUCCCAGGUCAUGAGGACGCUGAAGAACUAGGUAAGCGAAAACCUGACACCGACUUGUUUCCAAGAAGGGGUUUUGAAUUGGACAGGGUGUGGUGAAAUCUACAAGGAGCCUAUCACAGAAGACUGGAUCAAGUGUAAUAUUUGCUAGCAGUGGUGGCAUUAAGGAUGCACAUGUUAUGAAGGACAUAGUGAAAUUUCUUGUGAUUUAUCUUAGUGAGUACUCUUUAACAACAUGUCAUGUAAUCUUAGAUGACACAGCUGAAAGUAUGCAUGAACAGAAUGUUUACUUUAUUGACAUUUAAGCUUUGUGCUAAAAGUUUCACACGUGUAACUGAAAUAUGUUGUUCCUAAAUAACCCACCAGUAA